rnacentral:rRNA from 1 species
UACGGAGGGUGCGAGCGUUGUCCGGAAUCACUGGGCGUAAAGGGCGCGUAGGCGGCUCAUGAAGGCUGUGGUGAAAGUCCGGGGCUCAACCUCGGAUCGGCCGUGGCGACUCGUGGGCUGGAGCACUGUAGAGGCGGGUGGAAUUCCGGGUGUAGCGGUGGAAUGCGUAGAUAUGCGGAGGAACACCGAUGGCGAAGGCAAUCCCCUGGGCCUGUACUGACGCUCAUGCACGAAAGCGUGGGGAGCAAACAGG